AUUGAACGCUGGCGGCAGGCCUAACACAUGCAAGUCGAGCGGAUGAAGGGAGCUUGCUCCUGGAUUCAGCGGCGGACGGGUGUGUAAUGCCUAGGAAUCUGCCUGGUAGUGGGGGAUAACGUCCGGGAACGGGCGCUAAUACCGCAUACGACCUGAGGGAGAAAGUGGGUGAUCUUCGGACCUCACGCUAUCAGAUGAGCCUAGGUCGGAUUAGCUAGUUGGUGGGGUAAAGGCCUACCAAGGCGACGAUCCGUAACUGGUCGGAGAGGAUGAUCAGUCACACUGGAACUGAGACACGGCCAAGACUCCUAGGGGAGGCAGCAGAGGGGAAUAUUGGACAAUGGGCGAAAGCCUGAUCCAGCCAGGCCGGGUGUGUGAAGAAGGUCUUCGGAUUGUAAAGCACUUUAAGUUGGGAGGAAGGGCAGUAAGUUAAUACCUUGCUGUUUUGACGUUACCAACAGAAUAAGCACCGGCUAACUUCGUG
rnacentral:rRNA from 1 species